AAGUGGUCAUGGUGGUUAAAGUCUGUAUGUGUAGCGUCUCUCCUUGAAACACUACAAGUUCAGAUAUGUAAUCCAUUUUGUUUUGGGAGGCUAGUUUCACUCUGGGCAAGCAUGACUUUGCUAGCGUGUACCACAUACAGUGCGCUUGCGACAGAGGUAAUGAUUUUAUCCCUUGCAGGCAGCAUGAAAGGAGAAGUCUUUCUCUCCCUCUGUGUGCUUCUUCCUGCUUCUCUCCAUUCCUUAUGGUUUUUUUCUCUGAGAAGCAUUUGAUUGGACCACAUUAGGGCAGAGAUAACAUUGGAUAAGCUUUGCUUAGUGCUAUAACCCUGGUUACCCAAGUUUAUUGUUUUUUUCUCCCAUGUUUUAAAAGGUGAGGGGAGCUACUAACUAAUG